UACGAAGGGGGCUAGCGUUGUUCGGAUUUACUGGGCGUAAAGCGCACGUAGGCGGAUUGGUCAGUUAGGGGGUGAAAUCCUGGAGCUCAACUCCAGAACUGCCUUUAAUACUGCCAGUCUCGAGUCCGGAAGAGGUAAGUGGAACUCCUAGUGUAGAGGUGGAAUUCGUAGAUAUUAGGAAGAACACCAGUGGCGAAGGCGGCUUACUGGUCCGGUACUGACGCUGAGGUGCGAAAGCGUGGGGAGCAAACAGG
rnacentral:rRNA from 1 species